AAUAAGAUGUCUGAUAAAAAGAAUUAUCUUGAUAGGAUAAAAAAUGUAUAAUAUACUCUUAUUA
rnacentral:tRNA from 1 species